rnacentral:misc_RNA from 1 species
UCUCUCUCUCUCUCUCUCCCUUUUGAAUUUGGUUCUAGGUAUUAGCUGACAGUUAGUGAAAACUGUGUUAAUGGGCAUUUUUCAAGUGGGGAAUUGUCAUGUUUUAUCAGACCAUGCACGUUUUAACUUGUCUCAAUCAAUUGCAAUAAGUGUUUUCCUCAACUUCAAUGCAAGGGCUACUGUGAAUUUCCUAACAUUGGAAGUUGGCUCUAUGGCUUCAAGGGAAAAAGCAUAGAGAAAAGAUAUGAGGUGCUUUAGAAGAAGUUGCACAAGUGUUUUUCAUUUUGGCCAUAUACUUGCUUAGAUUGAUAUGGGUACUAAGGCCUGCAGGUUAAAAGUCAAAAAUGAUCAAGACCAUUGCAGAAUAAGGCCUGCAGGUUAAAAGUUAAAAAUGACCAAGACCAUUGCAGAAUUUUUUUUUUCUUCAAAGAAAAAAUGAGGACUCUUUGGGUGUGAUGGUCAAUGGCCUCUUAGGCCUAAGGCCUGCCUUCAAUAGUUAAUGUCCUUGAUCUAACCUAAUCUCAUAGGGGGGGAUAUAUUACCGAAUCCGAGAUGGGUCCCAUAGACAAUCAAUGUCCCACGCUCAAAGCAGAGAUAAUAUUAGUCUCAAACGCUAGUGCGUGGGUGAUCCAGGGUCGAAAACAUCCAACACCAAAGGCGUCCCAUUGGGUCAUCAAGUUCGGUGGUCUGUUGCAUGAUUAACAUCAAACAUCUUCGGGUAUAAUAUAUACAAAAGAAGGGGUAAAAAGCUUCUAUACUAUGGUAUAUUUAUUCAUCAUUUUUCUGUUUAUUUUCUAAUCAUUUUCUUUGAAGCUUGUAGCUUGUGCAUUAAACAAAAUUGCUCCAUCCCUAUUUAGGCAUUGGCUUCAAGUAAGUUUGUACUAUUGUGUCCACAAUGAUUAAGUGAAACUCAGUUGUUCAAACUCAGCACGGCUGUGUUCAUUAAAGGCCACACAAUAUUGAGUCCCAUUGCAGCAUUGCAAAAUUAGACAAAUUUCUGAAAUAAAUUAAUAGGGGUGAGUUUAUAUAUUUCCCUCUAUGUGGAAAUGGAUUUUCUUUUGAAUUAGCUGACAAAUAAAUUGAUCAACCAUAAUCCAGAAACUUAAUGAAUUAUUGACAAGUAAUUGUUUCAUUUCAAACAACAAAUACUAAAUUCAAAGUACACAUAUGAGAAAUACCAAGUGAAUUACAUUUCGGAAAACAAAAUAAUAAGACUUGAGGUAUAAUUUAGAAUUUAUAUUGCUUUCAACAUCAG